rnacentral:lncRNA from 12 species
AAUGUGGAUUCCAAGGUAGAUUCUGCAGUCUGCAUCUGCCAUGUCGUCAUGAUGCCCUUUGAGGGUCUGGGCCAUGUUCAAAAGUAGAUCAUAGUCUACUCUUUUUUCUGCUCACCCAGGUGGGUAGGGGUUGGGGAGGCAGUGUCUCCAGCCUUCUCCUGAUGAGAAGUGAAGCAGUGGGGAUGUGUGCGGGUAUCUGUAGACCGUGCCCCUUGGACCCCACCCUCCUAUUGCUAUGACAACCACUUCUGUGAGGACAUGGGGACAAGAAUUGUGAGUCUGCUGGGUGGGAAGCAGACAUGCUGGAGGAUCAUCACAUUAGUGAUCAUAGCACUUUAUGAUCAUGAAGAAGAAAGAGAAUGUGUCUUUAUCUUCCAUCGGCAAAGAGACCAACGGAGUGUGGGGACCCCCAGGGGCAGAAAAUCCGUCCUUUAACACCUUUGACGCAUCCUUGACAUCCAUCUACAGCUUCGCUGAUGACCUGGGCUACCAGGGGAGCCAGGAGCUGACCAGUGAAGAAGACCCCAGCCUGCCGCAGUCCAAAAGGCAGAAGCGGAGCAAGGUGGCCAAUGUGUGCAUGAGGAAGGAUAAGGUGAAGGAGGAGGAGGACGAGGAAGAGGCCGAGAGUGCCACUCUGCCCCGGCGAUCCUUGAGGGUGAGACGCAAGCUGCCCCUGUACUCGCGGGCGUGCCAGCUGGGGCAGAAGAAACAACCUAGCACCCUGGGAAGCAGCCACAGCACGCCCACAUCCAAGACCAAGUCCUCCCGCUGGAGCAUAGCCGGCUUCCUCCAGUACCUGUGCAGCUGCUGUAGCUGGUGGUGCCUGAGGCCAGGGCAGGAUGAGCAGGGUGACCCCUAUGAGGAAGGUCCGGCCAGGAACCAGGAGAACCCCAACAGUAACCCUUUGUAAAUAAAGCAGUUUAUUUUUGAAGAUGGCCUGUCCCAGCCCUGUGAUUGCAGAUUUGCCUCUGGAUUGAUUGGAUGAUUGGUGAGUGGGUUGAUUUGGGAUCCACACGUCCACUUUUGUCCUCCCCUUCUGCCUUGUGGUCCCAAACCCUUCCUCACCCUUCCCGGCUCCAUCUGAAUUCCUGUCUCUAGUGGUCCAGGCCUCAGAAAGGUGACCCUGAAGCCUGCAGCUGCCAGAAGCACAAAGGGCCAAGGGCCAAAGGCCUGGCUGGAGGGCACCUCGGGGAAGCAG